rnacentral:rRNA from 1 species
CCUACGGGAGGCAGCAGUGGGGAAUCUUGCACAAUGGAGGAAACUCUGAUGCAGCGAUGCCGCGUGAGUGAAGAAGGCCUUUGGGUUGUAAAGCUCUUUUGUAGGGGAAGAUAAUGACUGUACCCUAAGAAUAAGGUCCGGCUAACUUCGUGCCAGCAGCCGCGGUAAUACGAAGGGACCUAGCGUAGUUCGGAAUUACUGGGCGUAAAGCGCGCGUAGGCCGUUGAGUUAGUUAAUUGUGAAAUCCCAAAGCUUAACUUUGGAACUGCAAUUAAAACUGCUCGACUAGAGUUUGAUAGAGGAAAGCGGAAUACAUAGUGUAGAGGUGAAAUUCGUAGAUAUUAUGUAGAACACCAGUUGCGAAGGCGGCUUUCUGGAUCAACACUGACGCUGAGGCGCGAAAGUAUGGGUAGCAAAGAGGAUUAGAUACCCUCGUAGUCCAUACCAUAAACGAUGAUUGCUAGAUGUUGGAAAUUUAUUUUCAGUAUCGCAGCUAACGCAUUAAGCAAUCCGCCUGGGGAGUACGACCGCAAGGUUAAAACUCAAANGAAUGCGGNGUUGAGUAGNGCGAGACGACGACGAGGGAGAG